CCUACGGGAGGCAGCAGUGGGGAAUAUUGCACAAUGGGGGAAACCCUGAUGCAGCAACGACGCGUGAGUGAAGAAGUAUUUCGGUAUGUAAAGCUCUAUCAGCAGGGAAGAAGAUGACGGUACCUGAGUAAGAAGCCCCGGCUAACUACGUGCCAGCAGCCGCGGUAAUACGUAGGGGGCAAGCGUUAUCCGGAUUUACGGGGGGUAAAGGGAGCGUAGACGGGGAGACAAGUGUGAAGGGAAAGGCCGGGGCUCAACCCCGGGACUGCUUUGGAAACUGCCCGACUGGAGUGCGGGAGAGGCAAGCGGAAUGCCUAGUGUAGCGGUGAAAUGCGGAGAUAUUGGGAAGAACACCGGUUGCGAAGGCGGCAUGCUGGACAGUAACUGACGUUGAGGCUCGAAAGCGUGGGGAGCGAACAGGAUUAGAUACCCGUGUAGUC
rnacentral:rRNA from 1 species